rnacentral:rRNA from 1 species
AUUGAACGCUAGCGGCAGGCCUAACACAUGCAAGUCGAGCGGUAGCAGAUGUAGCUUGCUCCUGGGUGACGAGCGGCGGACGGGGGAGUAAUGUCUGGGAAACUGCCUGAUGGGGGGGGAUAACUACGGGAAACGAUAGCUAAUACCGCAUAACGAUGCAAGACCAAAGAGGGGGAACUUCAGGCCACUUGCCAUAAGAUGGGCCCAGGUGGGAUUAGCUAGUAGGUGGGGUAACGGCACACCUAGGCGACGAUCCCUAGCUGGUCGGAGAGGAUGACCAGCCACCCUCGAACUGAGACACGGUCCAGACUCCUACGGGUGGCAGCAGUAGGGAAUAUUGCACAAUGGGAGCAAGCCUGAUGCAGCCAUGCCCAUUGUAUGAAGAAGGCCAUCGGGUUGUAAAGUACUUUCAGCGGGGAGCAAGGUGUUGAGGUUAAUAACCUCAGCAAUUGACGUUACCCGCAGAAGAAGCACCGGCUAACUCCGUGCCAGAAGCCGCCGUAA